UUUAUGGAGAGUUUGAUCCUGGCUCAGGAUGAACGCUGGCGGCGUGCCUAAUACAUGCAAGUCGAGCGAACGGACGAGAAGCUUGCUUCUCUGAUGUUAGCGGCGGACGGGUGAGUAACACGUGGAUAACCUACCUAUAAGACUGGGAUAACUUCGGGAAACCGGAGCUAAUACCGGAUAAUAUUUUGAACCGCAUGGUUCAAAAGUGAAAGACGGUCUUGCUGUCACUUAUAGAUGGAUCCGCGCUGCAUUAGCUAGUUGGUAAGGUAACGGCUUACCAAGGCAACGAUGCAUAGCCGACCUGAGAGGGUGAUCGGCCACACUGGAACUGAGACACGGUCCAGACUCCUACGGGAGGCAGCAGUAGGGAAUCUUCCGCAAUGGGCGAAAGCCUGACGGAGCAACGCCGCGUGAGUGAUGAAGGUCUUCGGAUCGUAAAACUCUGUUAUUAGGGAAGAAUAUAUGUGUAAGUAACUGUGCACAUCUUGACGGUACCUAAUCAGAAAGCCACGGCUAACUACGUGCCAGCAGCCGCGGUAAUACGUAGGUGGCAAGCGUUAUCCGGAAUUAUUGGGCGUAAAGCGCGCGUAGGCGGUUUUUUAAGUCUGAUGUGAAAGCCCACGGCUCAACCGUGGAGGGUCAUUGGAAACUGGAAAACUUGAGUGCAGAAGAGGAAAGUGGAAUUCCAUGUGUAGCGGUGAAAUGCGCAGAGAUAUGGAGGAACACCAGUGGCGAAGGCGACUUUCUGGUCUGUAACUGACGCUGAUGUGCGAAAGCGUGGGGAUCAAACAGGAUUAGAUACCCUGGUAGUCCACGCCGUAAACGAUGAGUGCUAAGUGUUAGGGGGUUUCCGCCCCUUAGUGCUGCAGCUAACGCAUUAAGCACUCCGCCUGGGGAGUACGACCGCAAGGUUGAAACUCAAAGGAAUUGACGGGGACCCGCACAAGCGGUGGAGCAUGUGGUUUAAUUCGAAGCAACGCGAAGAACCUUACCAAAUCUUGACAUCCUUUGACAACUCUAGAGAUAGAGCCUUCCCCUUCGGGGGACAAAGUGACAGGUGGUGCAUGGUUGUCGUCAGCUCGUGUCGUGAGAUGUUGGGUUAAGUCCCGCAACGAGCGCAACCCUUAAGCUUAGUUGCCAUCAUUAAGUUGGGCACUCUAAGUUGACUGCCGGUGACAAACCGGAGGAAGGUGGGGAUGACGUCAAAUCAUCAUGCCCCUUAUGAUUUGGGCUACACACGUGCUACAAUGGACAAUACAAAGGGCAGCGAAACCGCGAGGUCAAGCAAAUCCCAUAAAGUUGUUCUCAGUUCGGAUUGUAGUCUGCAACUCGACUACAUGAAGCUGGAAUCGCUAGUAAUCGUAGAUCAGCAUGCUACGGUGAAUACGUUCCCGGGUCUUGUACACACCGCCCGUCACACCACGAGAGUUUGUAACACCCGAAGCCGGUGGAGUAACCUUUUAGGAGCUAGCCGUCGAAGGUGGGACAAAUGAUUGGGGUGAAGUCGUAACAAGGUAGCCGUAUCGGAAGGUGCGGCUGGAUCACCUCCUUU
rnacentral:rRNA from 1 species